rnacentral:rRNA from 1 species
AGGUAGUAAAUAAACCUAUUUAUUAAGGCGGCAUUUAUUACAUUAGAGGAACUUGUUAAAUAAUCGAUAAUCCACGAUAAUUUUCACUUCCAAUAAUAACUUACAUACCGCCAUCAAAUAGAACUAAUUAACUAAUAUUAUUCUUAAUAAUAAAUAAAAAGUUAGGUCAAGGUGUAGUCUAUUUGUAAGAUUAUAAUGAGUUACAUUAAACGUUAUUUAAGAAUUAUUUAUUAAAAUUUAUUUUGAAAAAGAAUUUGUUAGUAAUAAAUUAAUAAUAAUAAUAUAUGAAUAUAAUAAUAAAUGUGC